GACGAACGCUGGCGGCGUGCCUAAUACAUGCAAGUAGAACGCUGAAGCGCGGAGCUUGCUCUUCUUGGAUGAGUCGCGCACGGGUGAGUAACGCGUAGGUAACCUGCCUUGUAGCGGGGGAAAACUAUUGGAAACGAUAGCUAAUACCGCAUAACAAUGGAUGACACAUGUCAUUUAUUUGAAAGGGGCAAUUGCUCCACGACAAGGUGGACCUGCGGUGUAUUAGCUAGUAGGUGAGGUACUGGCUCACGUAGGCGACGUUACAGAGCCCACCUGAGAGGGUGAGCGGCCACACUGGGAGGGUGACACGCCCCAGUGGGACUCGGGUAGGAGCAAGACUGAAUCUGGGGGAAGGGGUGCAAACCUGACCGAGCAACGCCGCGGGAGGGAAGAAGGAUUUCGGAUCGUAAAGGUCUGUUGUAAGUCAAGAAAGGGUGUGAGAGUGGAAAGUUCACACUGUGACGGUAGCUUACCAGAAAGCGACGGCUAACUACGUG
rnacentral:rRNA from 1 species